rnacentral:rRNA from 1 species
UACGAAGGGGGCUAGCGUUGCUCGGAAUUACUGGGCGUAAAGCGCACGUAGGCGGAUUGUUAAGUCGGGGGUGAAAUCCUGGAGCUCAACUCCAGAACUGCCUUCGAUACUGGCGAUCUCGAGUUCGGGAGAGGUGAGUGGAACUGCGAGUGUAGAGGUGAAAUUCGUAGAUAUUCGGAAGAACACCAGUGGCGAAGGCGACUCACUGGACACAUAUUGACGCUGAGGCGCGAAAGCUAGGGGAGCAAACGGG